AAGUCGUAGCAAGGUUUACCGUGAGGUGAGCCUGCGGAAGGAUCCAAUUGAAAGAGAUGGAGGUCGUUCAUGGCCCGACCUCCAACCCUCUGUUGUUAUAACUACCUUGUUGCUUUGGCGGGACCGUCUCGGUCUCCGAGCGCACUAACCCUCGGGUUGGUGAGCGCCCGCCAGAGUCCAACCAAACUCUUGUAUUAAACCAGUCGUCUGAGUAUAAAAUUUUUAAUUAAAUAAAA
rnacentral:misc_RNA from 1 species